AACAAAAACAUCGCUUUAUGUUUAUAUAUAAAGUAUAACCUGCCCAAUGAUGAAAAUUUAAUGGCCGCAGUAUUUUGACUGUGCAAAGGUAGCAUAAUAAUUAGUUUUUUAAUUAAAAGCUUGUAUGAAUGGUUUAAUGAGAUAAAUACUUUAUUAUUUUAAAUAAAAUUAGAAUUUAAUUUUUUAGUUAAAAAGCUUAAAUUAUUUUAAAAGACGAGAAGACCCUAUAGAUCUUUAUUUAAUUUUAAUAAAAAUAAUUUUAGAAAAUAUUAAUAUUUUAUUAAAUUAAAUUUUAUUGGGGUAAUAUAAAAAUUUAAUAAAUUUUUUAUUUUUAAAAACAUAAAUUUAUGAAAAAAUGAUCCUUUAGUAAAGAUUAAAAGAUUAAGUUACCUUAGGGAUAACAGCGUAAUUUUUUUGGAGAGUUCUUAUCAAUAAAAAAGAUUGCGACCUCGAUGUUG
rnacentral:rRNA from 1 species